GCACAAUUCACAAAACCCAGGGUCUUACAACACAGACAGCUGUAGUUUCAAUGAAGAACAUUUUUGAACCAGGUAUGGCUUAUGUUGCUCUCAGCAGGGUGACGUCUCUCAGUGGACUCUAUUUGCAGGACUUGGAUGAGAACAAGAUUUAUGCCAAUUCCGAGGUAACUGCAGCGCUCCAAACCAUGAGACAAGCCAGCGUUGAGGAAAUGAUGCCUCUUCUUCAGGUCAGAGAAACAGCCAGCAGACCUGACACUCUUACACUGAUCCAUCACAAUACGGAGGGUUUGCCAUCUCACAUCAGUGACAUCAAGAGUCAUCAUGAAAUGUGCUUAGCAGAUGUUUUGUGUCUCACAGAGUCUCACCUCCAAGGCUCCUUUGUUGCAGACAGUCUUCAUUUGGACGGCUACACAAUGUUCAAACGCAACAGACAUGUGUCCUACACAAACUUUCCUCACAUGGCCAGCAGAAGUGGUGGUGGAGUUGUUGUGUAUUUGAGGAAUCAUUUUCAGGUUCAGGUAAAACAGUAUCUGCAUAAUGUCACUGAUCUUGAGUUUUUAGUGUUGAAGGUUCAGGCUCCAUUCCCUGCGCUCAUUGCUGUUGUGUACAGACCCCCUGACUACAGUUUGACACCGUUUAUGCAAAACCUGGUAAGUCUUUUAGAUUCACUUGAAAUAAUGGACUGUCACCCAAUAAUUGUG
ensembl:lncRNA